rnacentral:rRNA from 1 species
AACGAACGCUGGCGGCAUGCCUAACACAUGCAAGUCGAACGAGACCUUCGGGUCUAGUGGCGCACGGGUGCGUAACGCGUGGGAACCUGCCCUUAGGUUCGGAAUAACUCCCCGAAAGGGGUGCUAAUACCGGAUAAUGUCUUCGGACCAAAGAUUUAUCGCCUUUGGAUGGGCCCGCGUUGGAUUAGCUAGUUGGUAGGGUAAAAGCCUACCAAGGCGACGAUCCAUAGCUGGUCUGAGAGGAUGAUCAGCCACACUGGGACUGAGACACGGCCCAGACUCCUACGGGAGGCAGCAGUGGGGAAUAUUGGACAAUGGGCGAAAGCCUGAUCCAGCAAUGCCGCGUGAGUGAUGAAGGCCUUAGGGUUGUAAAGCUCUAUUACCCGGGAUGAUAAUGACAGUACCGGGAGAAUAAGCUCCGGCUAACUCCGU